UCUCCGUUGGUGAACCAGCGGAGGGAUCAUUACCGAGUUUACAACUCCCAAACCCAAUGUGAACGUUACCAAACUGUUGCCUCGGCGGGGUCACGCCCCGGGUGCGUCGCAGCCCCGGAACCAGGCGCCCGCCGGAGGAACCAACCAAACUCUUUCUGUAGUCCCCUCGCGGACGUUAUUUCUUACAGCUCUGAGCAAAAAUUCAAAAUGAAUCAAAACUUACAACAACGGAUCUCUUGGUUCUG
rnacentral:misc_RNA from 1 species